UAGGGAAUCUUCGGCAAUGGACGAAAGUCUGAUCGAGCAACGCCGCGUGAGUGAAGAAGGUUUUCGGAUCGUAAAACUCUGUUGUUAGAGAAGAACAAGGACGUUAGUAACUGAACGUCCCCUGACGGUAUCUAACCAGAAAGCCACGGCUAACUACGUGCCAGCAGCCGCGGUAAUACGUAGGUGGCAAGCGUUGUCCGGAUUUAUUGGGCGUAAAGCGAGCGCAGGCGGUUUCUUAAGUCUGAUGUGAAAGCCCCCGGCUCAACCGGGGAGGGUCAUUGGAAACUGGGAGUCUUGAGUGCAGAAGAGGAGAGUGGAAUUCCAUGUGUAGCGGUGAAAUGCGUAGAUAUAUGGAGGAACACCAGUGGCGAAGGCGGCUCUCUGGUCUGUAACUGACGCUGAGGCUCGAAAGCGUGGGGAGCAAACAGG
rnacentral:rRNA from 1 species